GAUAAACGCUGGCGGCGUGCAUUAGACAUGCAAGUCGAACGGACUUUCAGGGCUUGCUCUGAAAGUCAGUGGCGGACGGCUGAGUAACGCGUGGGUGACCUACCCCGAAGUGGGGAAUAACUGCCCGAAAGGGUGGCUAAUACCGCAUACGAUAGUCAAUUCAUUUUGAUGAUCCAAGCAGUGAUGCGCUUUGGGAGGGGCCUGCGUCCGAUUAGCUCGUUGGUGGGGUAAUGGCUCACCAAGGCGACGAUCGGUAGGUGGUCUGAGAGGACGAUCACCCAGACUGGGACUGAGACACGGCCCAGACUCCUACGGGAGGCAGCAGUCGGGAAUUUUGCUCAAUGGGCGCAAGCCUGAAGCAGCAACGCCGCGUGCGGGAUGAAGGCCUUCGGGUUGUAAACCGCUUUUCUUAGGGACGAUUAUGACGGUACCUAAGGAAUAAGCCACGGCUAACUACGUGCCAGCAGCCGCAGUAAAAC
rnacentral:rRNA from 1 species